rnacentral:lncRNA from 1 species
CGGAACAUGGUGGCAGCCUUAAUUAACACAUUGUUCGGGUGAAUAUCUAACAAAGAAGGUAAAUUCCCGAGAACUCUUUUCACAUGGUUUUUGUCACUUGGCGAGAGAUUUUCCCACCAAUCGAGCAACAAAGGUGGGAUACUUUGAACCAUGCUGAACCUGGGGACUUCGCCUCAUUUCUGCAAAACAAAUAAAGUUAGCCCUUUUCCCCUACAGAUUCGACUAUUUACACAUUAUUUAUUAGCAUAUCGGCACGUUUUCUCCAAAUAAUGCACAUAUCAUUAUUGUACCCAUUGGGAUUUAAGGAAAUCCCGGCGGGCUUUGGACAAGGCUUGCCUUAGAGAGUUAUUACGCGGACAGUGUUCUAACCCAUACUAUAUUUAGACAUGAUGCAUACACAGUUAAUAUUAGAGUGGGGUUUCUAGAAGAAUCUAGACCGGUACCCUCAAGUGGACAACUUGAGAGGGGAAGGCAUGGAACCAUCGAUUGCACCGUUGAUCGACUAGUUUUACCGCAAAUUAUCCUUUCCAAAUUUAAAAAGGUGAUUUAGGAAGAGCGCGAACACUCAUCAAGCGCCGCUAUGAUAUUAAUUACGCACGAGUGGAAUAUGAUGUGGAGCAUUCUUUAUGUAAAGAUAAAAUAACACGUUGUCAAGUAUGUUGCAUGAUGAAGACAAUAAACACAGCAUUAAAUGGAGCGUAAAGACAUAAAAAGAAAGGAAAACAAGGAAGAAGUUAGUUCGCGCAAUGUGAAAGAAUUGCAAUAAAGCAAGCAAGGGGGUAGGGGUAGGGAGAGACAUGAUGUAGCAAAUUUAAAAAUGAUUCGGAGCAAGUGAACAUGACUAGAAAAUAAAGGAAAACGCACAUUGUAACAAAAUUAAGCAAAGAUUUGCAUAUUAAUACAAAUUAAAAAUAGAGGGAAAUAGGGGAAAGGGUGUGCAUGUAGCCAUAAAAAGGGAAAAUGGAAGCGGGAUGUUCAUGUAACGAUAAAGAACAAGGAAACACAUUCAUCAAAGAAAACUAAUUCAUAUAGACCAAGUUCGCUAUGGUAAGAGCCUAAAACAAAUCCCUAGCAGAGUUGCCAUGCUGUCGCGCCCCUCUUUCUCGCAAAAUCGGGUUUCGACACGUGACAACUCUUUUAAGGAAGGUGUUAAAAGAGAGAGUCGCCACCUAAUGGGUUUGAGGUGCAUUAGGGCACCUAUUUUCAAAUAACUCUCGUUUAACCAGUUUGCGUCACCAAAGAUCAGGUAAGGGCUCAAAUUACCUCGAAGAGAAGGUGUUAGGCAUUCUUCGAGGUCCACAACUGUGGGUCCCGGCCGAACUUGAAUUAUAUGAAUUAUUCAAAUAGUCAAAGAGAAAAACAAGAAGUUUGAAAAAAUCAUUAUUAGAAAGUCCUUGAGUAAACACAGAUAAUUGGUUUAAAGACAAGAUGGGGGUCCUAAGUUUUUUAGCCUAAAGGAUCACCCCGUGCAACAUAAAUAAUACUUCGUAACUCUCUCGAGGUGGGGUGUUACUCGUAUUAUUCAGCGGUCACAUACUAUCAUCUCCAGCUACCCGAUUACUAUCUUUAAGUUUUUACCUAAAGCGCACUAGUUGAUUCUAAACUGUUCCCUAUGAGUGCACUACCCGUCCUAUGCCUAUGGCCCAGGAGGCGUUUGGACCUCUAUUUUGGAUGGUUUCUAGACUUAGCUUAGGCUGCUCAGAAAUGAUAAAACUAGGCGACAUACAAAACAAGUUGGACUUCAUGUAAAAGCAAUUAAGGGCUCGAGUUAGCCUCCACACUUAGACAACAAAUGUACGCGAACAAAUUUUCACAUUAAACGUUAGACAAUUUCAGGAUUUAGGCAAAUUAAAGCCAUUAGGCCCUAUAGACAUGGUUUCUAUGUGACCUUGGAAUUCAAACAUACAGGAAGUUUCAGAUGUAAGGUGCCAUUUUAGAUACAGCUUCUAAGCGACUACACAAUUGCCCGUUGAUUACAGAUUAUAAGCGAUUAAACCUAUAGACAUGCUAUCUAGGCGAUUUACGCAGUAGUUAGCAGUGAUAACCGUGGAAGAUAUUCAGAACUACUCAGUUUGAUCCUAUAAGCAUGAUUUAUAAUAGAAACAGUGUUGAAAGUUCAAUAUUAACACUUAAAAGUGAGUGGAAUUACCCUAUAGGCAGGAUUUCUACAAUUAGCGAUUGAAACUAGCUUUAACUCCUAUAGGCAUGUCUCCUAAGUGAGCAAUUAUAACAACAAUACAUUAACCAAUUAAAACCCUAUAGGCAUGAUUUCUAAAAUGCAGAUUUGCAGAACAUAAGCUAACAUAACCCUAGGUUCAUAGUAUCUAAUGAAUAUGCCGUAAUGCAAAUUCAAACAUUGCUCACUUUAUUUCCUAUAGACAUGAUAUCUAACAAACAUGUAGAAGCAAAAUAUGUUAAAUGAAUUAAACACUCAAGUCAUAUAUGCAGGUUAUCUAACACACAUAGUAUCAAAAAAUGUUCGAGCAAAUUAAAUACCUAUAGGCAGUAUUUCUACCCGUUCAUGCAAAUAUUAGAAUAAACUCAUUUCCCAAUUUUAUUAACACCCCAAUUAUUAUUACAAUAUUAUUACAGACCCAAUGAGUGAAAUAAAUUACAGGGUUACAAAAUAACUAUAGUGGGCCUAAGAUAGGCCAAAGUAUACCCAGCCCAGCCAGGCCUUCAAUUACAUAUCCAACAGGCUUCACCACAACCCAGAAGUCAUAGCCAAUCAAACCCAGAAAAACAAUUUUCAUUUACACAAAAUAGAUAAAACCCAGUAGCCAGAGCUGAUCAACAGCCGUUUACACAAAUCAAUUGGUUUAUUCAGUAGGUAAAAAAAAGGAGGGGCAGAGUUGAACAAUUAGGACAAAGUGGCCCAAAGAACCUUAGACCCUAGUGUGUCAGAGUUCACAAGGGUCUCAAAAUGGACCCUGAGCAGUGCUCACACUAGGGAGGUUGAUAGAGAAGAUUUAGGGAAGGGGGGUCUUGGCUUUCAUCCGGCCUAGAAUUAGACUCAUAACAAGAAACAAUCAAUGAAAAAUAGUAAUAGGUUUGGAAAAGCAUUUGCAAACACUAUAAGAUAAUCACAUAGUGAACUCAAGAAGUAAACUAACACAUUGGGCAGGGUGUCAUAUGAUAAGAAACAAAGAGCCUGGGAUUGCAAAGUCAACAGACAAUGGCAUUAGACUAGUAAAACCCAGUAAUGCAACCAGUGUAGAACUUAAAGGAUCGGAUUAUACCAAACUCAGGAUUACACAAUAUAAUACAAACAGGAUUAGAUAUCAUGGAGGGUAUCAGUCAAGGAGGAUUAGUUUAAAGGAUAACAUUUUGUUAGAGGUGUAGAAUUGGACAUAGCAAGAACACAUAGAGUGGCAACCAUAGUCAUAGGAGCAUACUACACUUAGAGUAAAGGUUUUAAACAAGUUAAUGCAUGCUAAUAACAUCAAUUAAUCACUAGAAGUUCAGAUUUAGGCAGAGAACAUGGAUUAAACCAUAUAAUCAAGGCAGAACAUUCGAAUUAUCAAUAACACCAAACUAAACAUGCUUCAUUCUGUCUAAAUUAACUAAGUUAGGUACAAAGACAUUAUUAGGCUAGCAAUUAUAGGCAGAAUCACACAUAAAGAGAGUCAAGGGAAUACAUUAAGUCAUGCAGUUUCAAAGAACAUGCUAUCAUAAGAGAAUAAAUAUUGCGAGGGUUUAGAAACUAACCAAUGAUUGUUCACUAAACAAGAAAAGAACAACAGUAAGGACCUAGAGUCUCAAAUAUGUCAAGUUCCCAAAGGUUUCAAGAACCCAGUGCAGUGCUCACACCCAAGAGAUGGUCAGAAAAGUAGAAAUCUGGUGGCCUUGGCUUUCAGCCGGCCAAGAGCCAAACAGAACAGAAUAGUAAACAAAUACAGAGUAGAAACCUCAAUUUUUAGUGAGAGAAUAGUGAUUCCAGUCCUGUCCAAAAAGGGGAAGGGGGAUGGGUUUUUAUAGUAGCAUAAUUAAACACACAAACAAGGAAAAACAAUCAAUCAAUCUUAAAGAAAAAGGAAAGAAUAGCAUGCGGAACUGAUUCAGAAUCAAUUUAGGAGAAGUCAAGCAAACCCUAGUUUUUAGAAAAACAAAUAUUAUCAGAAUAUACACAAAAAUAAUAACAUAGGAUGAAUAUAGACACAAAUAACACUAAAAAUCAGAGAAUCGAACCAAUUUUGGUCCGAUUUAAGGAAAUCUGAAAACCCUAGUUUUAGGGUAAGUAAGAAUCAACAGAAUAUAAACAAAUAUUUGGACUCACAGUAGCAUAGGAUGAACAUAGACGGAAUAACAUUCAAAAUUCAGGGAUUUGAACUGAUUUUGGUUCGAUUUUGAUGAGAUCUGCUUGCCAUAUUUAGGCAAGCACUAUAGGAGAGUAGCCAGUACCAGAAGGGGGUCGAGUAUGGUAAGUAAUAGCCAUGGAAUCCCAUAUUAGGUGGGUUUAUGAGAAGAUUUAGGGGGCGGCGGCUAGGGUUCUUGAGAGAGGGAGAAGGGGUUGAGAGGAUAUCAUGGUGGCAUAUGAGGGGAGAGUGAGG